CAGUAGCCGCGGGAAUACAGAGGGUGCGAGCGUUGUUCGGAAUUACUGGGCGUAAAGCGCACGUAGGCGGAUAUUUAAGUCAGGGGUGAAAUCCCGCAGCUCAACUGCGGAACUGCCUUUGAUACUGGGUAUCUUGAGUAUGGAAGAGGUUAGUGGAAUUGCGAGUGUAGAGGUGAAAUUCGUAGAUAUUCGCAGGAACACCAGUGGCGAAGGCGGCUAACUGGUCCAUAACUGACGCUGAGGUGCGAAAGCGUGGGGAGCAAACAGGAUUAGAUACCCCAGUAGUCCCUGUCUCUUAUAC
rnacentral:rRNA from 1 species